UACAGAGGUGGCAAGCGUUGUUCGGAAUUACUGGGCGUAAAGGGCGCGUAGGCGGUUCGUUAAGUCCUGUGUGAAAUCCCCCGGCUCAACUGGGGAACUGCACAGGAAACUAGCGGGCUUGAGUUCGGGAGAGGGAAGCGGGAUUCCGGGUGUAGCGGUGAAAUGCGUAGAUAUCUGGAGGAAUACCGGUGGCGAAGGCGGCAUCCUGGACCGGCAUUGACGCUGAGGAGCGAAAGCUAGGGGAGCAAACAGG
rnacentral:rRNA from 1 species